UACAGAGGUGGCAAGCGUUGUUCGGAAUUACUGGGCGUAAAGGGCGCGUAGGCGGCCAUCUAAGUCAGACGUGAAAUCCCCCGGCUUAACCUGGGAACUGCGUCUGAUACUGGACGGCUUGGGUAUGGGAGAGGGAUGUAGAAUUCCAGGUGUAGCGGUGAAAUGCGUAGAUAUCUGGAGGAAUACCGGUGGCGAAGGCGGCAUCCUGGACCAUUACUGACGCUGAGGCGCGAAAGCUAGGGGAGCAAACGGG
rnacentral:rRNA from 1 species